rfam:Myotis davidii contig103026, whole genome shotgun sequence.
GAUGGUUCUCAGGGGACAUGCCCUGGAAUUGGGCUCCCUCCUCUCUGGUUCUGGUGUGUCACCAAAGAACCGCA